GUUUUGCCAAGGGUAAAACCCCAGAGUCAGGUGUAGUUAGGCUUCUCUCUUUUUUUCUUCAAGGCGCAGACAGCAACUUCAUUUUUUAAAAAGAUUUUAUUUAUUUAUUCAUGAGAGACACACAGAGAGAGGCAGAGACAUAGGCAGAGAGAGAAGCAGGCUCCGGAUGCAGGACUCAAUGCCAGGACCCCCGGAUCACCACCUGAGCCAAAGGCAGACGCUCGACCACUGAGCCACCCAGGUGUCCCAGCAACUUCAUUUUUUAGGCAUUUUCUCCCUAAGUGCAUUUCCUCCUACAGACAAGUCAGAGGAUGGAACUUAGUGCUCAGAAAGCCACACCCGAGUCCCCUUAGCUCUGGGUUUCUGCAGCCCCCUAUCUCUCUGCCCCCAGAGAGUGUGUGUGAUUAUUCAUGUUUGUGCAGUGGGUGUUAGUGGGGGACUCACUGGUACAUUUGGGUGUUGUGUGUGGGGUCAUGUUGCUGAGCGUGUGAAGAUGUGCUAUGGGUGUGUGUAGGGCUUGCAUAAUGUGUUGUAUUUAGUGUGGUGUGGGUAACGCAUGCGUGUCGUUUGUGUGUAAUGUGGCUUUUCCUUUUUCGUCAGAGGCUUAAGCGCACGCUCUGUGUCCGGUGUAGUGUGGAACACUGUGUCACGCGUGUCAUCUGUGUGAGGAGCGACUGCGCGUUGUGGAUGUGAGCGAUUGGAGUAAUCGCUACAAAAUACAUGGGGUUUGCAGCGGCGGCGGCGCAGGCGGUGCACCAAGGUGUGUGCUGCACGUGCCGCGUCGGGGACCUAGGUCCUGGGCGAGCGGGCGGCGAGCGCCGAGCGCCGGGCCGAGCAGAUGCCCGCAGCUGCGGUCUGCGCAUGCCCCGAGGGCCGCGAGUCUGCGCAUGCCCCGAGGGCCGCGAGCCGCGGACUUGACUCGGCGUGGGGGAGUUGGAGUUCCCCUUCCAGUUUGUGAAAUGUGCUGGGACAAAGAUCCUGUGACUGGCGGUCAAAAGGCUUCUCACCUCCAUUACUCACCUCCCACAAAGGAGUUCCCUGCCUCAGGGCUUAACACCUUGCAAAAGUGAAACAAGCCUGCAUGGGUCUGGAGAUGCCCCCCACCCCCUAUCGGGCUACCAGCCUCACUGUUUUUUUGAUGCCUAAAAAUCUGCAGAACAAUUAGGCUGCAAAUGCUUUGGAGUCAUAGCCAAAAACCAUGCAGGGUAGAAAUCAAUGAAUAGAAAUUUAUGAUGCACAACACUGAAGCAGCGCUUUUGGGUGAGCCCCUCUCAUUUUCAGCACUCAGUGAAAUUAUGAAACCAUGGGGCAGAUCUCCGUCCCCUGAAGACCCGUGGUCCUCAGGAAGUGCAGCAGCAUCUCUAUACAGCAGCUGAAUGUCGAACAUCGCACAUCAAAUGCUGGCACUGAGUGGUGGGGAGCAGCCCCGGAUCGGGAGUCCCAGGCCUGGGGUCCAUUCCCAGCCCCGCUGAUCAGCUGUGUGACCUUAGACAAGUCAUUCACUCUCCAAGCCUCCGUCUCCACACCUACCAGAUAGAACAUUGGACUAGGUGAUUUCCAAGAAGCCUCAAACUCAAGGAGGGAAGGGGUAUCUUAGCCAUUAAAAAAACCCUUACAGGGGCACUUGGGUGGCUCAGUGGUGGAGUAUCUGCCUUUGGCUCAGGGGGUGAUCCCAGGGUCCUGGGAUUGAGUCCCGCAUCAGGUUCCCCACAGGGAGCCUGCCUCUUCUCUGUCUAUGUCUCUGUCUCUCUCUGUGUGUCUCAUGAAUAAAUAAAUAAAAUCUUUAAAAAUUAAAAAUAAG
rnacentral:lncRNA from 12 species